UUUUAUUUCAGCUGGUAAACCAUCAGGGGAAGUCCAAAUAUCAGAGGGUAGAUUUGGGGCAUUUAAGCAUGAUUUAAUUGAGGAUGUGGAGAGUAGAUUACUGUCUGAUGUGAAAUAUGCCAAAGCCCAUGGGAUAAACCUAAAGGACAUUGCCAAAGAUUUUGAAAACAGAGCAAAAGUGGCCAAAUUAUCCCCAAAACCAAGAUCAACAGCAUCAGAUGAGAGAGAAGACAAGGACUUAGCUUCACUACACAAGCGCCCUCUACCACCUAGUAAUAUGUAAACCAUAUAUACAGCUGAUCAUUUUGUGUUGAUCUGUAACAUACUACUUAGAAAAGACCAGGAUAAAUGCAAUAAAGGUGUAAAUAGAGGAUGGAGUGCAGUUGUAAUACAGUUUUAAAAAUGUUGGGGUAUCCAAAGUCAUUUAGAUGGACAAGUGUAUGACUGAAAUGAAAGAAGAAUACAUUAUAACAU